AUCCAACCAUGCAACAUUGAUACAGUAUAGAUAAUUUCAAACUUCACAGGUUUGCCGUAAAGUCAUUUUUAUACCCUCCCAUUAUUUGAAAUUUAGAAAUUCGAAUACAUUGAAAAAAAGUUAUAAACUUCUCCAAAAUUUAUGAAUAUGCAUUUGGUUUUCUUAACCUGAGAUCAGGGGGAGGUUCCUUGAGAAUCUAACGAAACUAAAGUUGGAAAUUCAUGGCAAAACUGUAAGUUUAUUCAUUCAGUGAUGAAAACGGA
rnacentral:lncRNA from 1 species